CUUUUAGUUAACCUGACACUUUCCAUUUACUCUGGCAUCUCCCAAGAUCAUUUAUAUCUAGGAGGUGAAGGGGGCAAAAAGGAGUCAAGACCGACUCUCAGUAAUAUCCACUGUGCUAACGAGCUUUCUAUUACUAUAACUGCUCUUCUGAAGUAAGUGAAAGCUGAAAUGUUGGAGAGAAAUUUCUAGAAGGGGGUGAGGUUUGAUAUGGAUCCUGAAGGUGGAGAUUUGAGAGAAUAAAGCAUUGAAGACAAAACCUGAGCCAAAGCACAGGAAUGAGAACACGCUCCAUUUUGCAGAGGAGUGAUCUACCUUUCUAGACUUCGGUGUGUGUCAGAAACUGUGGGAAAUUGCUCAGGUGAGUAUGGUGGACAAAGACACAUCAGAGCCAUUUGAAUAUGAAUGGCAGCAAGAAGGAAUCACUGAACUAUGGAGUAUCAGGAUAGAAACUGGGGUGAGGUUACUCAAGAUGCAUUGGAUGGGUGGAAGCUGAAGCCAGGCAAGCUAAUUGGGGCAUCCUAUAGUGAUCCAUCUGUCACACAGUGAAGACCUUAUCAACAUAGUGCAGAUGUGAGAAGGGAUGGGAGAUUGUUCAAGAGAUGAAAAUGUCUGGUUUCAAGCAUGAACAGCUAGAGAAGACAAUGGAGCUUCCUGUCUAAAAAGUCUGCAUGUGUGGGACUGGGCCUUAGGGGAGAGUGCAGGGUGGAAACGCAUGUUGAGAUAUAAGGAAUAGCCAAUGGCAUGGUUCAGCUGAAUUCAAGAAAAGGAAGAUCUUUGGAGAAAGAAUGUGAAGAGAAGGGUGGAGAGACAUGGUGGAGAUGCACCCACAUUAAAGGCCUUGGACAGGUAAAACGAGCCAGGGUUGUGGAAACAUGCAGCCUGGGAGGUGAGACUCAAGGGUUGCCAGAGAAUGAAGAGAACAAAGUGGAUGAGGAGCCAGAGAAGGUGACUGAAGAGGAUCACAUUUAGAAGAGUUCCAUUAAUGACCUGGGAUUAGAAAUCAAGGAGAGGAAGGACAGGAGGUGAUGGACUUGCAAACAUGGGCAGAGUCGUGAAGCUGUUAUGAGGAUGGGCUCUGGCAGCCACUCUUCUGGAUCUUGGAUCCACUAAAACAGGACAACUUAAUUUGCAGAGGCUUACCCAUUAUAAUGUACUAGAUUGACUGUCUGUCAUGGCCCUAACUCAUGUCUUUCCCACCGGUUCAUGUGAUCUUAUUUAGAAAUGAAGAUAUUGUAGAUCUAAUGAGUCAAUAUGAAUUCAGACGAGGGAAAGGUGGGUCGGUAGCGCAGUGGAACUGGUUUCCUUGUAAGAAGUGAAGAGAGACAUAAGGAGAACACCUAUGCCUAUAAUGACAGGAGCAGUCUGGGGUUACAUAGCUGUAAACCAAGAAGCACCUAGGGCUGCUGGAAAUAGCAGAAACGAAGAGAAAGGCUUGGAUCAAAUUCUGACCUAGCACUUUAGGAGGAAUAGGGCUCUUGCCUCUAGGACUACAAGAAAAGAAAUUCUGGAAAUUCUGUUCUUUUGAGCCCCCAGUUUCUGGCGUUCUGUGGUGCUAGUCCCAGAACCUUAAUGAAUUCAGCCACCACAUCCUUAAACUGAAGAUGAUACUGUCUUCCUAGGAAGGGUGGGAAAUAGCACAUUGAAAAAUGCUUAGUACAGUGUCUGCUCUGGAGCUAGAACUCAAACAAAUGUUGACAAUAUGUUAUGUUAUUCUUUAAGGAUCUGGUUGUAGGCAGAGGGAAAAAAUAAUUCUAGUCAAGCCAUGGGGACAAUAAAGUCCGAAAUUUUUUUCUUGCUAAAUUAUUGGUGCAUAGUUAAAUGGAGAUGACAAACCCCUCACUUAUGAUGACAGGUGUCAUUUUAGAUCAAAAGAAGCAUUUUCUAGGUUGGCCACUUAACUGGUGUGACACCACACUUCAGAAUUUCAGAACACUAGACUCACCCUUCAAUUACAGACAUUAGCACCCUUGAAUAUAACUUUUACAAGAAUGUCAAUUUUAUCAAAGCUAAUUAUAGGUAUCCCCAUAUGAAAGAAGAGAAUCUUAUUUUAAGUAAAAAAAAAAAAUCAACUUUGUUGGCUUAACAUCUCAAUGACUUAAAUCCAGAGAAGAUUUCUUUCAACAGAACUUGGCAAAAUGGCACGCCACUCUACAUCUCUCUGACAUGUAAACAGCUCUAGCUACCCUGUCUGAAAAACUGAGGAAAAGUUCAGGGUGAAUGUGUAAUUGAGUUCUACUCAGCAAGUUCAAAACAAAUGACUAAUCUAAUGUCAUGGACUUCCUUUCUUCUCGGACUUUAGACAUCGGUACACAGGCUUUAUUAGGUUUUACUAAAAAUAAAAAGGAACAAAGAUUUUAGAAUGCUGAGCAAACUGCUCAUAUCAUAUUUACAUGACCAGAAAGGAAGGAAGAUGAGAAUUGGGAAGAGAGACUUUACAGAUUGUUCUCCUUUAAAGAAACUGUUGCAAGCAGAUCCCAGAAGCAAGCAGAAGACCAUUAAAAAGUUACAAGAGGGUGUGGCUCAGUAGUAGACUAUCUGUUGAGAACGUUCCCACCAUUUUUUAAAGUCACAUUGAAAUCUUUCAUUAUUUAAUUUCUAAACAAUAAUUAACAUGAAAUCUAUCCUUUAAGCAACAAGACUUGUGGACCAAGAAUUUGACCAUGCUUUAUCUUACCCUAGAGUAAAUUUAAGUCCUUAUUGACCCUUUCUACUGUACCUUGAGCACCAGAGUUGACAGUACAAUAUUAAAUUAUACUUCAUUUGAACUUGGAAAUCCAGGACAAAUACAAGGAGGCUGAACAUAAAAUAGGAGUUCCCUUGGCAACCAGACUCUGAGUUCUUGAAAUGUUCUCUGGUUGCAAGGAGGAAGUUAGAGUUUAUUGUGCAAGCUGUUGGUUGUAGAGCCGUUGGCAAACUGAGAGAUGACAGUCAACCACUGCCGAGCUCAGUGUAUUUCUCAAUGUAUGUUGGCUAAUAGAAUUUUAAAACAUUGGCUUCCAUUCCUUUCAGAAUCAGGAAAGACAGAGAUACUUGGGGAGGCGGGGAGUUGAUUAUCUUUCUAGCUGAUUCCAUCUCAAACCUGUGAUUAGAUUGCAAGGCCUUAGUCAUAAGGCAGGCUUUGAUCUCUUUCACAAAGGCAAAGGCGAGAUGUUCAUCUUUUUCUGUUUUAUAAUCCUCUCAGCAUUUAUGGACAAUGGAUAUAUACAUGUAUAUGUUAAUGAGUAUACACAUAUAGAUUAUGAGAGCACACCUAUACAUUGUGAUAUAGUCAAUAUAUUUACUGAGUACUUAUAUGUCAUAUAUAAAUAUAUAAAACUCCUGAAGCUGGGUAUUUUGCAUAUUUAUCUCAGAGUUUGUAAAA